rnacentral:rRNA from 1 species
AUUGAACGCUGGCGGCAUGCCUUACACAUGCAAGUCGAACGGCAGCACGGGGCAACCUGGUGGCGAGUGGCGAACGGGUGAGUAAUGCAUCGGAACGUACCUUUCAGUGGGGGAUAACGUAGCGAAGGUUACGCUAAUACCGCAUAUUCUGUGAGAAGGAAAGCAGGGGAUCGCAAGACCUUGCGCUGAUUGAGCGGCCGAUGUCAGAUUAGCUAGUUGGUGAGGUAAAGGCUCACCAAGGCGACGAUCUGUAGCGGGUCUGAGAGGAUGAUCCGCCACACUGGAACUGAGACACGGUCCAGACUCCUACGGGAGGCAGCAGUGGGGAAUUUUGGACAAUGGGGGCAACCCUGAUCCAGCCAUGCCGCGUGAGUGAAGAAGGCCUUCGGGUUGUAAAGCUCUUUCGGCCGGGAAGAAAUCGCACGGGCUAAUACCCUGUGUGGAUGACGGUACCGGAAUAAGAAGCACCGGCUAACUACGUGCCAGCCGCCGCGGUAAGAC